rnacentral:lncRNA from 1 species
AUGAAUGUGUUUCUCUGUGAAGCAGCCAAAGAAGACACAGGAAAGGCAAGAGUGAAGUCUGUUCAAAUGGGUGCCACACACAUGGCAGAUGCACGACUUUGCCUUGCUUUUCCUGGUCUCUGGGGUUCCACACCACACGAAGCACUGAUAGAUCACCCGCAGUUCCUGCCUCCAGUUCUCUCCCACCUUAAAGCUGUUCACGUGGGAACAGCCUGGUGGACCCACAGCGAAAUCCACAUCCAGGCAUCCACCCCCAGGGCCGCGCCGGGGCCGGGGCCGGGGCGCGGGCCGUGGCCUAGGCUGCGGCGGGGUACGGAGCCGGGUCUGCGGCCGCGGCCGGGGUCGGCGGCGGGGGGCACGACUGCGCCGCGGAGAGGGAUCGGGGGGCCGCGGGGGUUCGGAGGGAAGGGUGGGGGGAGGAACCUCGUCGCUGCUGCCGCCACCGCCGCUCCGCGCUGGGUUCUCAUCAUCCAGCUCCUGCUUAGGCUCCCUCUUCGUCUCCUGCUCUGCCUCCGGUACGGGCUCGGGUUCGGGCUCCAGCUUGAGCUCAGCCCGGCGGCCCGGACCCUCCGCGGUCUCUACGUUCCCGGCGGCGUCCACCUUCCCCGCCGCCUCCACCUUCCCCUCCGCCUUCUCCGCCGUCUCCGCCGUCUCCGCCUCCUCUACCUCCUCCGCCUCCACUGGCGGCGGCUCCUCCCCCUGCUCGCUGGGCUCUAGCGGCCACUGGGCGUGGCGGCGCGGGGGCCACGCAGACCUGGGGUGUCCCCCGCCCGGCCUGAGGGAGCGCGGUGGCUGUGACAGCUGGACCCAAAAGGGACUUUCACUGAAGGAGGCGGCGGCGGAAGCAGGCGACGCCCCCCGGGAAUCCUCCCGCCGUAGCCCCCUAGCGGAGGCCGCUUCAGCACCAGGCCCCGUUUCCUUUAAUUCAGUAUUUCCCAAACUUGCUUGUUCACGAGGAUCACGUGGGGAGCGUGUUAAAAUUACAGAUUCUUCGGCUCCACCCGCAGACCUACUGAAUCAGAAUCGCGAAGGGAGGUGCUCCGGAACCUGUAU